CCAGCAGCUGCGUUAAUUCCAGCUCCAAUAGCGUAUAUUAAAGUUGUUGCAGUUAAAAAGCUCGUAGUUGGAUUUCUGGGAGGGUGCCAAUGUCCGCCGACGUGCGUGUGCAGCGGCGCCCUUCCAUCCUUCCGUUAACGCCUCUUGGCAUUCAUUUGCUGGUGGCGGGCUCAGAUAUUUUACCUUGAGAAAAUUAGAGUGCUUCAGGCAGGCUAGCGCCGGAAUACAUUAGCAUGGAAUAAUAGAAUAGGACUUUUGCCUCUUCUGUUGGUCAUGGGGUUCGAGUAAUGAUUAAUAGGGAUAGUUGGGGGCAUUAGUACUUCACUGUCAGAGGUGAAAUUCUCGGAUUUGUGAAAGACUAACUUAUGCGAAAGCAUUUGCCAAGGAUGUUUUCAUUAAUAAAGAACGAACGU
rnacentral:rRNA from 1 species